rnacentral:rRNA from 1 species
AUGGGAAACAGGUUAAUAUUCCUGUACUUGGUGUUACUGCGAAGGGGGGACGGAGAAGGCUAUGUUGGCCGGGCGACGGUUGUCCCGGUUUAAGCGUGUAGGCUGGUUUUCCAGGCAAAUCCGGAAAAUCAAGGCUGAGGCGUGAUGACGAGGCACUACGGUGCUGAAGCGACAAAUGCCCUGCUUCCAGGAAAAGCCUCUAAGCAUCAGGUAACAUCAAAUCGUACCCCAAACCGACACAGGUGGUCAGGUAGAGAAUACCAAGGCGCUUGAGAGAACUCGGGUGAAGGAACUAGGCAAAAUGGUGCCGUAACUUCGGGAGAAGGCACGCUGAUAUGUAGGUGAAGCGACUUGCUCGUGGAGCUGAAAUCAGUCGAAGAUACCAGCUGGCUGCAACUGUUUAUUAAAAACACAGCACUGUGCAAACACGAAAGUGGACGUAUACGGUGUGACGCCUGCCCGGUGCCGGAAGGUUAAUUGAUGGGGUUAGCGGUAACGCGAAGCUCUUGAUCGAAGCCCCGGUAAACGGCGGCCGUAACUAUAACGGUCCUAAGGUAGCGAAAUUCCUUGUCGGGUAAGUUCCGACCUGCACGAAUGGCGUAAUGAUGGCCAGGCUGUCUCCACCCGAGACUCAGUGAAAUUGAACUCGCUGUGAAGAUGCAGUGUACCCGCGGCAAGACGGAAAGACCCCGUGAACCUUUACUAUAGCUUGACACUGAACAUUGAGCCUUGAUGUGUAGGAUAGGUGGGAGGCUUUGAAGUGUGGACGCCAGUCUGCAUGGAGCCGACCUUGAAAUACCACCCUUUAAUGUUUGAUGUUCUAACGUGGGCCCCUUACCGGGGUUGCGGACAGUGUCUGGUGGGUAGUUUGACUGGGGCGGUCUCCUCCUAAAGAGUAACGGAGGAGCACGAAGGUUGGCUAAUCCUGGUCGGACAUCAGGAGGUUAGUGCAAUGGCAUAAGCCAGCUUGACUGCGAGCGUGACGGCGCGAGCAGGUGCGAAAGCAGGUCAUAGUGAUCCGGUGGUUCUGAAUGGAAGGGCCAUCGCUCAACGGAUAAAAGGUACUCCGGGGAUAACAGGCUGAUACCGCCCAAGAGUUCAUAUCGACGGCGGUGUUUGGCACCUCGAUGUCGGCUCAUCACAUCCUGGGGCUGAAGUAGGUCCCAAGGGUAUGGCUGUUCGCCAUUUAAAGUGGUACGCGAGCUGGGUUUAGAACGUCGUGAGACAGUUCGGUCCCUAUCUGCCGUGGGCGCUGGAGAACUGAGGGGGGCUGCUCCUAGUACGAGAGGACCGGAGUGGACGCAUCACUGGUGUUCGGGUUGUCAUGCCAAUGGCACUGCCCGGUAGCUAAAUGCGGAAGAGAUAAGUGCUGAAAGCAUCUAAGCACGAAACUUGCCCCGAGAUGAGUUCUCCCUGACUCCUUGAGAGUCCUGAAGGAACGUUGAAGACGACGACGUUGAUAGGCCGGGUGUGUAAGCGCAGCGAUGCGUUGAGCUAACCGGUACUAAUGAACCGUGAGGCUUAACCUU